rnacentral:lncRNA from 1 species
AUGCCUCGCCCACAGCCAGCUCCAGCCUGCAGACGGAGCCACCACUGGACUGCUCAGUGUUGUUGGCGACCUCUCGCUAGCUCGUUCCCGGUGGCCUUGGUGAAUGGUGGCCACUGGGCCUACACACAGGAAGUGAUCCCCUGGUGGCUCUUUGGGGCUCACAUAGCACAUCUAUGCCAGCACACCCACUGCCCUGAGCUUGUGUUCUCCCUUCCUCUAUUGUUUGCCAAAGUAGCUCAGGCACGUCCUCUUUGCUUUGCGUUGGCUGUCUCUUUCCCCAGGCUUCUAGAAGCCACCGUAGCAACAAGAAGGUGCCCCCCACCAAGACAUUCUCUCAGGUUACCACCUGUGAAAUAUUUAGCAAUUGGCCAGCCACUUGUACCAGCGAAGGUGCCCACAUCCCACUGGAGACGGGGUCCCCUCGCCAGCCUGGGGUGCCAGGACAUCCUGCUGAACCUCAGGUUUGGCUGGCUCAGGGGAGGACCACCUCUCUCUCAGACACACUUGCAGGCCACUCGAGCACUUGGAGAAAGUGAGAAGCAAAGAGAUUUCUCCAGAGUCGCAGAGCUAAGUGAGACAAAGCUGUGACUGGACGGGGGUUUCCAGACAUCCGGUUGGUGUUCUUUGCACUGUCUCCUACUGCAAUUAGACUCUGCUCUCUUCUCCAGUUUUAUUCAUUGCUAUCAUGAGUCUGGCAGCUGGCCUCUUUUUUAGCUUUAUUGAAGUCACUUGACUUCUGGCAACAUACUGAAUGUGUCGAAUGUGCAAAGAAGAAAAAAGAUAAUCUUUUAGAUACAUGUGGAGG